GCUGAGCUGGCUCGAGUGUGUAGCGCUACUGACCCGGGAGGGCGGUGGCUGUCCGCGGCGGUGACCGCUCACCUUCGGUCAGGUUCAGAAAGACGUGAAGAUGGAGCGCUGUGCUGGAUUCCUGUGAAUGCCAGCGGCAGCGGAGGAGCCCGGAAGCUCUAUUCGACCAGCUCGGGCCGAGAAAAGAAGGCUCUAAAACUGUUAGAUUCCGGAACGAGGCUCAGAACUGUCGGGAUCUUGGGUGACAACCACCGAGGCCGAGAAGAUGUAGGCGGGACUCCAGCCUCUGAAGUCCCAGGCGGCCCUGGGACCUUGGUUCCGGAAUCUCCUGGAGUCAGCCGCCUCUGCCCUGAGUUUGGUGGGCUGUGUACCUUCAUCUGACCGUAGCUUAGAUGCUUUCCUUUCAGAUCUUCACAUCAAACUUGAGUCGUUUCCAUUUUAUUGAAUAGGAAACUAAGGAUCAAGGAAGUUGGGUGUAGUGGCCAGGAUGGCCUAGGCGUGUCUUCUUUUUCUCGGAAAGCCACGCUCCACCAGUGAAUUUUGUGGUUGACUUCAUCAUACUUGGGACAUUGUUCUAUAGACUCGAGGGACCUGGGAACCCCGGUAAGGAGCUCAGCAGACAAGUGAGUCCUAGAAAGGCCCAACAAUGCACGCGGGGCAGUGGUCCUGGCCAGCUCUCUCCUAACUUCCUUCCAGGGAAAAGAUUUCACAAAGUUUUGUUUGACCAAAUUGCCGUUCACAGAAACAGCCAUAUAGAUUUCUUCCUGGAGUCCCCUGAGCCAGAUGGGAAUGGCUUUCUGACUAUAUGACCAACCGCAUUUGGCCAGAGCUCAGAGCCAUUUUUCUUGUCAAAGCUCCCAGCCAGGCUGUGGCUGUAAUUGUGGAAUUAAAGCCAGUGGCUCUCUCUCUGUAAUUAGGAAAUGCUGCUUCUUCUCAACGAGUGUCUAUGGAUUCCUGGUUCUGAUGAGAUGAAAUAAUCUAGAAAAGACACCAAAAAUAAUAAAAGCUUCAGGACCCUUUGCAAUCACUGAGGACUUGAAAGAGCUUUUAUUUAUGUGGUAGCAACUACUCUGUCUAUUAAGUCACAGCAACAGGAAGGUAACACAGAGAAGAGAGCUGAGGGACUACCAGACCAACAGCCUUGCCCUGUGCCAGCUGAGG